UGGGGAAUAUUGGACAAUGGGCGAAAGCCUGAUCCAGCAAUGCCGCGUGAGUGAUGAAGGCCUUAGGGUUGUAAAGCUCUUUUUACCAGGGAUGAUAAUGACAGUACCUGGAGAAUAAGCUCCGGCUAACUUCGUGCCAGCAGCCGCGGUAAUACGAAGGGAGCUAGCGUUGUUCGGAAUCACUGGGCGUAAAGCGCACGUAGGUGGGCAGUUAAGUCAGGGGUGAAAGCCCGAGGCUCAACCUCGGAAUUGCCUCUGAUACUGGCUGUCUAGAGUUCGAGAGAGGUGAGUGGAAUUCCUAGUGUAGAGGUGAAAUUCGUAGAUAUUAGGAAGAACACCGGUGGCGAAGGCGGCUCACUGGCUCGAUACUGACACUGAGGUGCGAAAGCGUGGGGAGCAAACAGGAUUAGAUACCCACGUAGUCCCUGAGCGGGCUGGCAAGGCGCAU
rnacentral:rRNA from 1 species